rnacentral:rRNA from 1 species
UCGGCUUAGAGUUUGAUCAUGGCUCAGAUUGAACGCUGGCGGCAGGCUUAACACAUGCAAGUCGAACGGUAAAGUAGCUUGCUACUUACGAGUGGCGGACGGGUGAGUAACGUAUGGGAAUUUACCGAAUGGAGGGGGACAACAGUUGGAAACGGCUGCUAAUACCCCAUAACGUCGAGAGACCAAAGGGUUUCGACUUGCCAUUUGAUGAGCCCAUAUGAGAUUAGCUAGUUGGUGUGGUAAUGGCUCACCAAGGCGACGAUCUCUAGCUGGUUUGAGAGGAUGACCAGCCACACUGGGACUGAGACACGGCCCAGACUCCUACGGGAGGCAGCAGUGGGGAAUAUUGCACAAUGGGGGGAACCCUGAUGCAGCCAUGCCGCGUGUAUGAAGAAGGCCUUAGGGUUGUAAAGUACUUUCGUGGAGGAGGAAGGGUUCACGUAAUCGUGGACAUUGACGUUACUCCAAGAAGAAGCACCGGCUAACUCCGUGCCAGCAGCCGCGGUAAUA